rnacentral:rRNA from 1 species
ACCCCAGUUCAGGCGAGGGUACCCGCCGAGUUUAAGCAUAU